UCUCCUCUUGCAACAUCGCCGGCCGUUAGCUCCGAAGCAUGAACUGGGCGAGCAGAAAGCUGCACCUCUACAACGUAACAGUGGGGCUCUACAUGCUCGACUGGUGGGAGCGUCUCCUCUUCAAUACUCUGACUCUGUUUUUGCUUUGGUUCCUCUGCUCCAACGGAAGUCGAUUGGCCACGGAUCUUUCAAGUGGGCGAGCUUUUAGCUUCUCUCUUCCCUUUGGACCCUAACGCUGCAUGAGCUUUUUUGUGCUGGUGAGCUUUCCUUGUUUGAUCCUUUUCAGGCACAUGGAGUGUGAUCGUAAUAAGUGGUUCUUUAGUUAAUUAAAGAGUUAGCGGUGAUUGUUGGUAUAAUGUGAUAUGGAGCAAUGGAGUAUGCAUGUUUUAAGUUGAA